GACGAACGCUGGCGGCGUGCCUAACACAUGCAAGUCGAGCGAUGAAACCCUUCGGGGUGGAUUAGCGGCGGACGGGUGAGUAACACGUGGGUAACCUGCCUCAAAGAGGGGGAUAGCCUCCCGAAAGGGAGAUUAAUACCGAAUGUGCUCGCCGGACGAGAGUCCGGCGCGUAAAGGAAGCUUCGGCCUCCGCAUUGGGAGGGGCCCGCGGCCCAUUAGCUAGUUGGUGAGGUAACGGCUCACCGAGGCGACGAUGGGUAGCUGGUCUGAGAGGACGAUCAGCCACACUGGGACUGAGACACGGCCCAGACUCCUACGGGAGGCAGCAGUGGGGAAUCUUGCGCAAUGCGCGAAAGCGUGACGCAGCAACGCCGCGUGGGGGAAGAAGGCCUUCGGGUUGUAAACCCCUUUCAGGAGGGACGAAGGUGCGGCGGUGAACAGCCGUCCGCACUGACGGUACCUCCACAAGAAGCCCCGGCUAACUACGUGCCAGCCGCCGCCGUAAGAC
rnacentral:rRNA from 1 species